GCUGCCUCCUCUCCAGCUAACAUUCAUCCCUCCUUCUCUGCUCACUUUGAUUCUAGCUCCUCCUGCCGCCUCAGGAACCUGACCACAUCUCUCUCUUGGUUAUUUGACUCCUCUCUUUCAACUGGCUUUAAACACCCUCAUGUCUUCCUUAACAACAACAAAACAGAAACAAGAAAACGCUGAACUUGACUUCUUUUUUCAUCCCGUCGACCAGAGCUGCCUCCCCAGAACCACCAACAUGGCCUCCGACAAGCCAGAGCUACUGCCUCUUGAUGCCGCCGGCCGUUGGGAGCACAGCAAAGAGUGGUUUUCAGAGCAAGGAAGACAAGCUUGGGAUGCAUCAGGAAUUGGAAAUUUGCUUUGAGGACCAAAAGAUGGCUCAAACUUGGCCUGCUUUGUCAUCCGCGUGCCAGGCUGACUCAAGAGCACCAAUUACCAGCCAGCUGCCUUGGACUCCUCCUCACCAGGACCAUCUGGAGAAUCUGGCCUGCCCUGGCACUUCCCUUUCGAGCUUCUCUGCCUUUAGAGCUCCCUCUGGAGAUCAGCAUCAUGGUACCUGGGAAAGGUGCCUUCUACCCACCCCAAGUGGUCCCUCCUCAAGCUCUGGGAGCCCCUCCCUCAGGGACAGGCCCUUGGGGUCCCUGUUGUCACUCACAGAGCCCAAGGCCACCAGCACUCUCCUGCCUGGCCCUGCUGUGACCUGACCAGGGCUAUUCUUAACCACAUGGUCCUUAGAGAUUCCCCCCCACCCAGAGGAACUCCGGCCACCCCCCCCCCCAACACCCUCUUUCUUUGAAGGACUUUCCGUAUCAAGGACCGAUUAACAGGUAACAAACCUACUGGGCUCAAAUGUUCUCCAGCAGAUGGCUAGGGGGGCAAG